ACUCACGCUGGCGGCGUGCUUAACACAUGCAAGUCGAACGGAAAGGCCCUGCUUUUGUGGGGUGCUCGAGUGGCGAACGGGUGAGUAACACGUGAGUAACCUGCCCUUGACUUUGGGAUAACUUCAGGAAACUGGGGCUAAUACCGGAUAGGAGCUCCUGCUGCAUGGUGGGGGUUGGAAAGUUUCGGCGGUUGGGGAUGGACUCGCGGCUUAUCAGCUUGUUGGUGGGGUAGUGGCUUACCAAGGCUUUGACGGGUAGCCGGCCUGAGAGGGUGACCGGCCACAUUGGGACUGAGAUACGGCCCAGACUCCUACGGGAGGCAGCAGUGGGGAAUAUUGCACAAUGGGCGGAAGCCUGAUGCAGCAACGCCGCGUGCGGGAUGACGGCCUUCGGGUUGUAAACCGCUUUCGCCUGUGACGAAGCGUGAGUGACGGUAAUGGGUAAAGAAGCACCGGCUAACUACGUG
rnacentral:rRNA from 1 species